ACUUAGACAUUUUUUGGCUUGGAAAGUAGUGGAAUUCUUUGGAAAAAAUUGUAAAAUGAGAAACUUAGCCAUUUUCUGCGCUGGAAAACUGUGGGUCCGAAAAUUACUUUUUUUUUUUACUGUCGACUAAUACACUAACAUCGGGAUCGAAGUCGGGCUCGAUGAACAAUUAAUUUUAACAACAGCGAAAUUCAAAACUAUCGAAUGCCAUGUUGAUGUUCCACAGAAGGAAAGUUGGAAGGAGUGCCACGAACAGGGGGAUCAUGGUCAGCUUGGGAUGGAAAAAGAUGACGACAUUUUUAAGACCGUUGCUGCAUUGCCUGAGAUGAUUUUCACAGCCCUGGCAUUUGAUAAAAGUGUAUAUACAUGUAGAUGCUUAACCAAUCAGUCACUAUAGGCUUGUGAAUAUGGAAUCCGGAUGCUCACAAGAUUUAGGACAAGAACUGUAUUAAAAAAAAUGAAAUUGUGCAAGGAAAGUUUGAAGUGUCUGUUGGAAUGAUUAACAUCGAACUUGCUGAGCCUUCGUACUAAAAGUGAAUCCGUUGGUGACGCCAAUUAUCUGUCAACCCUCUAUUGCAAAUUUCAUGGGAUAUCUGUGAGGAUGUGAUUCUAGCAACAUGUCAGAAGUUUUGUAUCUUCCACAAUUGGGAUCUUUGACACGUACAUUGGUGGAAAAUAGCAACUGUUAAUUUUAUGGGAUCUUUGUAUCAAUGUAGUUGUGUAGUACAUAUAUUUUUGCAUUUAAUAUGUGUGUUUGUCACUCUAAUCACUAACUUUGUACAGUAAAUUUACAUGGGCCUCUGGCAGUUUACUGUGAAUGUAUAUCCUGUUGAGGUUUCCAAUGACCUCUCCCAAUCCUUGGCCAAUGUCAUUUAAUGAAUCUAACCUCUUAUUUAAAAAAAAUGCAGACUUUAGUUUACUACAUACAUGUAUAUCAUAACUUCAUUAUAAUUAAUUUAACCAAGGUGAUCCCCCAGUAAUCAUAUUUUUUCUUGGAUAUUUCUGUGAAUAACCUUUGAUGUAAAAUACUUUGAAGUUUCAUUGAGAAUACAUACAUUAAAAAAAGUGUGCUUAUAAUGUACAUCUGAGUGGUAUAUGCUAUUAUAUUUGUCUCAAAAAACAUUGUAAAAGAAA